GUAGUUUAGCAGAAGUAAAGAGGCAGAAAAUGGAAGCACUCAGGUAAAGUACAUUUAUUUUAAAAUUGCACAAGAUCAAUUAGUCAUUAGAGAAGUUGAAGUGGAUGGGGUGCUUCGGUAUUUGAAUUGCACUACCAGGAGAAGAAAGAGGAAGAAGGAGCGAUCAAGAAAAUAGGAGUGCAAAGUGAGAGAUAGACAAUAGAGAAAGAGACAGCAGGAUCCAGAGGGACGAGGCCAACAGGAGAUGAGUGAUCUGCUGACUUUUUAUUAAUCUGAUGCGCCAGAUGUGUGAUCUUCCAAAUCCAGCUUCAUCGCAAGAAGUGGACCUCGGUCUGGUACUCCUCUCGGCCCUCCAGAGCCUUCUCCAUCUGCUGGGCGACGUGCUCGCUGGUAUCAGCCCCGU